rnacentral:rRNA from 1 species
UACGAAGGGGGCGAGCGUUGUUCGGAUUUACUGGGCGUAAAGGGCGCGCAGGCGGCGAGUUUUGUCAGGCGUGAAAGCCCCGGGCUCAACCUGGGAACUGCGCUUGAAACGGGCUUGCUGGAGACCGGGAGAGGAGAGUGGAAUUCCCAGUGUAGAGGUGAAAUUCGUAGAUAUUGGGAAGAACACCGGUGGCGAAGGCGGCUCUCUGGACCGGAUCUGACGCUGAGGCGCGAAAGCGUGGGGAGCAAACAGG